UACAGAGGUCUCAAGCGUUGUUCGGAUUCAUUGGGCGUAAAGGGUGCGUAGGCGGCGCGGUAAGUCGGGUGUGAAAUCUUGGAGCUUAACUCCGAAACUGCAUUCGAUACUGCCGUGCUUGAGGACUGGAGGGGAGACUGGAAUUUACGGUGUAGCGGUGAAAUGCGUAGAUAUCGUAAGGAAGACCAGUGGCGAAGGCGGGUCUCUGGACAGUUCCUGACGCUGAGGCACGAAGGUCAGGGGAGCAAACGGG
rnacentral:rRNA from 1 species